GGACCCGCACAAGUAGUGGAGCAUGUGGUUUAAUUCGAAGAUACGCGCAGAACCUUACCAACACUUGACAUGUUCGUCGCGACUCUAAGAGAUUAGAGUUUUCGGUUCGGCCGGACGAAACACAGGUGCUGCAUGGCUGUCGUCAGCUCGUGUCGUGAGAUGUUGGGUUAAGUCCCGCAACGAGCGCAACCCUCACUUUUAGUUGCCAUCAUUAAGUUGGGCACUCUGAAAGAACUGCCAGUGAUAAGCUGGAGGAAGGUGGGGAUGACGUCAAGUCCUCAUGGCCCUUACGUGUUGGGCUACACACGUGCUACAAUGGUAUCUACAACAGGAAGCAAGACUGCGAGGUC
rnacentral:rRNA from 1 species